rnacentral:lncRNA from 1 species
UGCAUGUUGAUUUGUUUUACUCAUACAAAUGUUUUAAAUAUACGGGUUGUUUAUUCUUCAUUUUCCUUUUCUAUUUAUUUUUCUUUUUAGUUUUAUUCUAGUUUAAUUUAUUUACCUAGUGCAGUGCUACUAAGGUAUUCUUCUUUUUGUUUUGUAUUCAAGGUCAAUAAAGUCAUGCAAGAUGAUGUAUAUCCUACCUUUUCAAAGUUUGAAGCUUAUGCAAAGGAACUUGCAACAAAAACG